CCUCCCAUAGUGCUGGGACUACAGGCGUGAGCCACCAUGCCCAGCCCCGGAGCCUUGGCUAAUGACUCAGUUGUACAAAAUCAUUUGCCUCUGAGCCUUCAUAACACUUAUUAUCGGUGCUAUUCAUGUGGCAUCUGCAAAAUACUAUCUUUGUGCAGUGGAAAGAAGAUAGAACUUAAAAGCCUGAGUGUCGAGCAUCCAUUCUACCCUUUGCUGAGCAUCCAUUCUACCCUUUGCUGGCCCUGUCACUUGGAGACACUACACACACGGACAUUGCCUCAUCUUUGUAGUGGGGAUGACGGCACAUGCACUCCCUUCCCAGAGGCGUGAGGGUCACAGGAGACCCUGGCGUCUGUCUCUCCCCUCGCUAGCCACUAGAGAUCCUGACAGUUAAGCCUGGUACUAAUCCUCAAGAAGUUUACAGCCUGGUCAAAAAGAGAAGCAUACCGGAACAAAUAUGAAACAAAACCUUACACCACAAGCACACACACUAAUGGGACACGAGCCCAGUAAAGGCAGAAAUGGCUCCAAGGCCUGGAAGCUUGAGGAAUGCAGGAUGUGAGUUGGAAGGAUGGGUGGAAUUUAAAUAAACGGGCAGGGAGCAUUCUAAAUGGUGGGGGGGGGCGGUGGAGGCAAAAACCCAAACAGGAAAUUGAGCAACACGUUCAGGAAAGACAGAGCAUGGCUGCUGGGCAGCCAGGUCAACCGGACGGCAAGGCAGGGGUUGGCCGGGGAAGCACUGCGCCGCCCCUGCAUGCCCUGCAUCCUCGGGUCCUGGGAGGGCUGCUCAGUAACUGGAAGGAAAAUGAAACUGAAAAAGAGCAAGGGUCCCGUAGGAUUGAACACAGUUGGUGAAACUUGGGCCGUCUGCCUCAAGUCCCCGCUUGGCAAAACCACUCCCUCCUGGUGGACGCCCUCACCAUGAAGAUGGCACGGUGCCUGCUUCAGGUGGCUGCUGAGGAGAAGAAACCCUUCAAUGCAUGCAAAGCACUCACGCCUGGCACGCAGGGAGCACCCAGAGGAAGCACUAGUGACCUCCCAGGCUGGAAACACCACAAGGACAGGGCACUGUCAGCUUCGCUGCUGCCCUGUGGGGCUCCACAUCACAGACUGAUAUGCUAGCAGGACCGCACACAUCUGCUGCCCAGGAAAGGACGGUUUCGUAUUUUCUGGAUUAUGACCAGCUAUUGAUCUACUUAUUCUACAAUCUGUAACCUACGUUUUGAUUUAUUUGGUCUUUUCUCUUAGACGGCCUGCCUACCAGCUAUGAAAAAGAACAGAAAACCACCAGGCAAACACUCCAGUUAUGGCCAACAAGUACUAACAGCUGACGAGGUGAAAUCCUGUCUGAAGUCACAGAUUUUGCUGAAGUCCCUUGGACUGUCAUCUCAAUUUCCUUCCCGAGAGACAGCCAAGACCAUGAACCUGGCGAGGUCCCUCCAACCCACGGUGAAAUAGCUUCUCGUUUACACGUGUCCAAGGACACAGGUCUCCUUUUAUAGAUGUCUAAUUUACAUGAAUGUUACGCUUCUGGCUUCCUCCUCACCUAGGUUUUCUAAAAUGCUGUAGAGGACUCAGUCACAGCGCUCUCUUGUAUUUCAUUUACCCAUUCCCUUGCUGUGGUUACUCGGUUGUUUCCAAACUAUUUCCAACAAUGCAGCAAUGAACAUCCUGUACCUGACUCCCUGUCCACUCCAGAAGUUUCUCCAGGGCUAGGCUCUCAAGCCGUUUUUGACGCAGUUACCAUUAUAAUGCUAUACAUACGCACAUAUGUAAGAAACACACAUGGAAGAAAAGUUUCACAAAACAUGACUUAACCUAACAUGCAGUGUUCUCUGAUUUCUUUAGAUUUUAUGCCAUUUAACUCUUUUUAAGCCUCUCAUAACCCACCAGAUUAACUGUUUUUAUUUAUAUAAAUUUAAGGGGUGGGGGUCACACCUGUAGUCCCAGCACUUUGGGAGACUGAAGUGGGAGGAUCACUUGAGCCCAGGAGUUCGAGACCAGCCUGGGCAACAUGGCGAAACCCUGUCUCUACCAAAAAUACAAAAAUUAGCUAGGCAUAGUGGUGCACACCUGUAGUCUCAGCUACUCGGGAGGCUGAGGUUGCAGUGAGUUGAGAUCGUGCCACUGCACUCCAGCCUGGGCAACAAAGCAAGACCCUGUAUCUAAACAAAUAAACAAAAAGAAUCUAAGAUUCUGUGAGACCAAGAAGCUGUCUUUGGCCAGACAUAGUGGCUCAAGCCUGUAAUCUCAGCAAUUUGGGAGGCCAAGGCAAACGGAUCACUUGAGGUCAGGAGUUUGAGACCAGCCCAGUCAAUAUGGGUGAAACCCCAUCUCUACUAAAAAUACAAAAAUUAGCCAGGCAUGGUAGCACACGCCUGUAAUCCCAGCUACUCUGAGGCUGAGGCCUGAGAAUCGCUUGAGCCCGGGAGGUGGAGGUUGCGGUGAGCCGAGCAAGAUGGCACCACUGCACUCCAGCCUGGGCUACAGAGAGAGACUCCAUCUCAAAAAAAAAAAAAAACAAAAAAAAAAACCUGUCUUUGAAACAUAACUUCAUGUCACUUAACACCUCAACAAUGUAAUAAUUUCCUUCACUUUCCCAAAACUUAAAGAAACAAAUGAACAAAAUGG
rnacentral:lncRNA from 1 species